GUGUGGCAAAAAGAAGUUUUUUCGAUUUUAGUUGAAAAGAAAAGUUCGAUGACAAAAUGUCGGACCUUUUAAGAGAGAUGAAGUAAGCGUAUUCAGGACUUUUGAAUGAUGAAAAUUCAUCAAAUCCACCACAAAAGGAUGCUAAUAAGAUCCGUCCGAUUCAGACGGUGCUAAAAUGGACACCUUUAGAAAUUCAAAAAUGGAUGGAGAAUAACGACUUGCUGAGAGUUCUUCCUGGCGACGUAACUGCUUGGGACAUAGCUAUGCUUAUUCGAAUGAAAAAGGAGUCACCCGACACGUUUUACAAGUAUAUUCAGGAAGUGCUAAAAGUCGUCAAACUUUCAUCAAUGUCAAGACUAAUUUGGGCUUUGGAAGAUGUAAACCAUUAUUUGUAGGAUAGUAUCUCUUGUACUCAUCAGUCCGGACCUUCCCAUCGGCAGUUCAACGAGACAACGUUAUAUAACACUCUCAAAUGUUGAAUAGUUUAUGUUUUUAGGAAUUUUUAUGUAUUUGCAGUUUAUAUAUGAUCAUAUGGCUGAGUAUACGCAUGAUUUUCGGUCUUCAGUGGAAAGAAGGUCAUAUUUACUUUAUUAUGGCGCGAUGAUUUUUCAAAUCUCACAAAACAUUAUUAUUUGUGUUUUUAAGGUUUAAAGGGGCCUUUUCACAGAUUUUGGCAUUUUUUAACUUAUUCAUUAAAUGCUUUAUAUUGAUAAAUGUAAACAUUGGAUCGUAAAAGCAUCAGUAAAAAAUCAAGAAUAAAAUUUAAAAAAGGAAAAGAACAUUGCCCGGAGCAGGUUUCGAACCAGUGACCCCUGAAGUCCUGCCAGAGUCCUGAAGUAAAAACGCUUUAGCCUACUGAGCUAUUCCGCCGAGUACACAUUCUUAACGUAUUUUAUACCUUAUAUAAGCAAACUUUGUAGUUUCACAAAAUUUAACGACAAAAACAGAACUCUCCAAAUUAUUCAAUCGUUUCGCGUUGCAACGCUUUAUAAUUUUUAGGUUUUAAAAUCGUCAAAAGAUGAAUAUAAUGGCUAUAUUAGAGCAUGGUAAAUGUUCAGUAUUACUGUUUCCUCACAAAUAUCAAAACUAAAACGAAAAUUUGCGGAUCUGAAACAACUUUUUUCAAUUUUGUCAAUUUACCAAAGCGUGAAAAGAUCCCUUUAAGUAGGUUUAAACAUGUGUUUAAGUUGCUUAUUGGUAAAACUUAUAAAAAUUGUUUUGGGAAUAAUAUGAAACAAGUCCCUGAGUUCAAUUAAAAAACUAUAUAUGGAACAAGCACAUGCGCAUAGUAACGAACCGUAGCAACCAAUCAGAAGAGUCUGAUCGAUUAUUAACGUUUCUUGUAAAUGAUACAAUUACUACGGUGACAUAGAUCUAGCCAGUAAUUUGUAAAGAAAUAUUGUCGAUUUAAAUUCAGUUUUAUGUCCAAGAAUCAUCAACAAACAUUGGCACGCCUGUUCCCUAAACGUUUUAUACUUAGAUUAUUAAAUUAAUGUUUUCCUAAUUUAUCAUUUGCUGUUUCACGAACGAUAUUUUAUUACCAUUUCUGAUUUUUAAUGAACAUUUUAACGUGUCGCUGAAGGUACCCUUUUUGUGGGUCUGAUGAAUAAUUAACAAUUAUGCAAAUAAAAUGCCAGUUAACCGGAUAAAUAAUAAAAGUUAUUGCUUUAAAAUUUGAAUAUCAAUUCUUAUUUUUAUUUACUCUUGUGAUUCGUUCAUAAAACUGGAAUAAAUGUGAUGUAAAGCAUCUUGAGUAACAAUCCUUUAGUUUGAUAUUACUGUUCCAAGUCGGUAACCAAUAAUUAUACCAUUUUUAUGUUUAUGGUAUAUGUAUAUCCUAUAUUGUCGGGCAUUUGGUAUCUUGCCUUAAAUAACAUACAAGCGGGUGGUAACGAUAUUCUUAAUCCUGAUUGUGGAUUUUCAUUAUUCCUCUAUUUACUUAAGUAUAUUGGAUAUGCAUAUCUGAAUGUUUUGACAGUUUAAACUCUAUUUUUCUAGCUUUGUUUUUAUUUUUUUUUAUUUGUAUUUAUUAAUUUAUUUAUUUAUAUGUAUAAUAUACAAUGAAGUACUAA